ensembl:snRNA U6 U6 spliceosomal RNA
CUACUCACUUCAGCAGCAAAUAUACUAAAAUUGUGAUGAUACAGAGAAGAUUACCAUGGCCCCUACACAAAGAUGACACACAAAUUCAUGAAGCAUUCUAUAUUUUU